rnacentral:rRNA from 1 species
AUGAAGACAACAUCUGGAUUAUACUCUGCGAGCAAUCCAGACUGUUUUUCUUGGCCUGCUGACCCUUCUGGAUUAUACUCUGCCAAGUCAACCUAUCAAAGACUCUGCCUCGGUGAUGAAAGGGCUCCGUAUGCCUCCUGCCUCUGGAAAAGUUGGGCACUUUUGAAGUGUAAAAUCUUCAUCUGGCUGGCUGUGCAGCACCGUAUUUGGACCUCUGACCGAAGGGCAAAGCAUGGAUUACAAGACCGACCGUCUGCAUGCUACACAUGCUUGCAAGAUGAAGACAAUGCCGAACACAUCUUGGUACAAUGUGGCUAUGCUCGACAGGUGUGGCACACCUGCUUUCAAGACCUAGCCCUAAAUACGCGGGCUCCGGUGGUGGAUGAUACCUUCCUCGAUUGGUGGAUCGAGACUAGGACGGGGAUGCCUAAGGGUCUUAAGAGAGGCUACGACAUGUUCGUCAUCGUGGUCGGAUGGGAGUUGUGGAAGCAACGGAGCGCGCGUGUGUUCAAUAGGCUACAGCAACAGCGAACCCCAAGAGAAUUGGUUGACGAGAUAUUCAGAGCAGUAAAGCAAUGGAGACAAGCCGGUGUAGGAGUUGGAGGUUUAACACAUUUUGUGAGAGAGUAG